GCCAGACUCCUACGGGAGGCAGCAGUGGGGGAUAUUGCACAAUGGGGGGAACCCUGAUGCAGCGACGCCGCGUGGGUGAAGGAGCGUUUCGGCGCGUAAAGCCCUCUCGGCAGGGAAGAAGGAGGACGGUACCUGACUAAGAAGCCCCGGCUAACUACGUGCCAGCAGCCGCGGUAAUACGUAGGGGGCAAGCGUUAUCCGGAUUUACUGGGUGUAAAGGGGGCGCAGACGGCAGCGCAAGCCAGGAGUGAAAGCCCGGGGCCCAACCCCGGGACUGCUCUUGGAACUGCGCGGCUGGAGUGCAGGAGGGGCAGGCGGAAUUCCUGGUGUAGCGGUGAAAUGCGUAGAUAUUAGGAGGAACACCGGUGGCGAAGGCGGCCUGCUGGACUGUAACUGACGUUGAGGCUCGAAAGCGUGGGGAGCAAACAGGAUUAGAUACCCGAGUAUG
rnacentral:rRNA from 1 species